rnacentral:rRNA from 1 species
GGGUCAUUAGGUUGGUCGUGCCACCGGUACGUACUGGUCUCACUGAUUCCUCCUUCCUGAAGAAACGUAAUGCCAUUAAUUUGGUGUUGCGGGGAAACAGGACUGUUACUUUGAAAAAAUUAGAGUGUUUAAAGCAAGCUAACGCUUGAAUACAUUAGCAUGGAAUAAUGAAAUAGGACGAUCGAUCCUAUUUUGUUGGUUUCUAGGAUUGACGUA